rnacentral:rRNA from 1 species
UACGAAGGGGGCUAGCGUUGUUCGGAAUUACUGGGCGUAAAGCGCGCGCAGGCGGUUUUCCAAGUCAGUGGUGAAAGCCCGGAGCUCAACUCCGGAACUGCCAUUGAAACUGUUAAACUUGAGGACGAGAGAGGUGAGUGGAAUUCCCAGUGUAGAGGUGAAAUUCGUAGAUAUUGGGAAGAACACCGGUGGCGAAGGCGGCUCACUGGCUCGUUUCUGACGCUCAGGCGCGACAGCGUGGGGAUCAAACAGG